UAACCCCCCCCGCAGGAGAAGGUGGAGGCACACCAGCGCGCCCAGAGCCUGCAGCUGCAGCUGGAGCGGGCGGAGAGGGGACGUGAGGGCUUCACUGACCAGGUGUGUGAGCUGCACACGGAGCUGGCCCAGGCCAGGACACACUCCAGCCAACACCAGCACCGCCACCUGCUCAUGGAUGACGAACUCAACACUGCCAAACAGCUGAGUGAGAAGUUGACCUCUGACCUCGAGACGGCGAGGCAGAGGUUAGAGGUCACCUCGAGCCAGCUGCAGCAGCUGGAGGUGGAGAAGGUCAUCCGCACCAAUCAGAUCGCAGCUCUGGAGGCUGAGCGCACGCAGCUGAUUGGAGAGAAGGAGGAGCUGCUGGGCUCCACCCACUGGCAGAGUCAGGAGGUCGCGGCAGCGGGACACCUAGAGGUCAUGAAGGAGCUGAGGGAGCGGCUCCUGACCCUGAGGGAAUCCCAUGAUGCCUUGCAGCAGAAGAGGGAGGAGCUUGAGGCUCGCUGCCGAGAUCUGGAGGAACAGGCCCCAGCGAGAGAGGCGGAGCUACAGAGGCAGACGGAGGAGAGGCAGGGCCUGGAGGCGGGGUUUUCUGAGGAGAGGGAGGAGCUGAGGAGGGUGGCCGCCCACUGGAAUGGGAGGUGGGAGGAGGUGGCCAUGAAGCUCCGCCUCACGCAGGGGGAACUGGAGGAGGCACAGAGGGAGCAUGAGCAGGAGACCAGCACACUGAGACAGGAAGCUGCUGAACUUUCACAGUCUGUCAGGACUCUUGAGAUUGGGCUGCAGAGAAGCCAAGAUGAUGUUCAGCAUCUCCUCCAGCAGAAAGCUCACGCUGCAGCGGACACGGAGAGACUGAAGGUGUCUCUGGAGCAGGUGGACAGUGAGCUGGCUCAGGUGAGGGCGGAGCUUGAGCAGGUGUGGGACAUGCUCCGCCUCAGAGACUCAGCACUGGAGGAUCAGCAGCAGGAGCUGCAGUCAGCUAGGAGCCAGGUAUCCCAGCACAGCUGUGAGGUUGGAAGGCUGGAGCAGCGACUGGCAGACAGGGAGCAGGAACUCAAAGACAGGGAGUGUGUUGUGAGCAGUCUGGAGAGGCAGAGGGAAACGGAGCGGGCAGAGACACAGAGGACCAUCAGAGAUCUCCAGCUCAAGCUUGCUGAGUUAGACAGAUCCGGUGAGAGGGGGCAGGAUCAUGGUCUGGAGGCACCCGGAGGACUGGAGUCCCUCAGGGCUCAGCUGGAGGAUAGCAGGAAAAGAGCGGCCCAGCUAGAGCAAGAGAGAGACCAGGCUGUCCUGAAACUGCGAAACCUUAAAGAGGUCCUUCAGACCAAACCAGAGAAAGGGUCGCCAUCUGAGAGCCGGAGAGAGAAGGUGGUGACCCCUGACCUUGACCAGCAGAGGACCCCUGACCCCCAGAGGAGAGAGAAGGUGGUGACCCCUGACCCUGACCCUGACCAGCAGAGGAGAGAGAAGGUGGUGACCCCUGACCCUGACCUUGACCACCAGAGGAGACUGGUGACCCCUGACCCUGACCACCAGAGGAGAGAGAAGUUGGUGACCCCUGACCCCCAGAGGAGAGAGAAGGUGGUGACCCCUGACCCCCAGAGGAGAGAGAAGGUGGUGACCCCUGACCCUGACCAGCAGAGGAGACUGGUGACCCCUGACCCUGACCACCAGAGGAGAGAGAAGGUGGUGACCCCUGACCCUGACCACCAGAGGAGAGAAAAGGUGGUGACCCCUGACCCUGACCAGCAGAGGAGACUGGUGGCCCCUGACCCUGACCACCAGAGGAGAGAGAAGGUGGUGACCCCUGACCCUGACCACCAGAGGAGAGAAAAGGUGGUGACCCCUGACCCUGACCAGCAGAGGAGACUGGUGACUGAACAGCUGAAGAGCCUGUUUAAGGAGCGGGAGGUGCUGGACAGGUCACCGGUCACCCAGAGACGGGUAGCCUCACUUCAGGGGUCAAAGGUCAUCAAGGGGGCGCUGGAGAGGAGGCUGGAGCGUGAGCUUCUCCAGGACAAAGAUGACCAGCAGGGGACAGCAGAGGCAACUGAAACUGGACCGUAUGGAGGAGGGGGACUGCCAGGGAAACCUCAGGGAAAGCCACGGUGAGGUUCCACGAGAUCCCAGCUGUGGAGAUCAGAGGGUCCGCGGUUGGGAAUCAUGGCAUCGCCACGGCAACCAUUGUUGCGUCAUCUCAGGACUGUGCCAAUGAGGAAGAGAGGGACACACACUCUUACCACGAGGACCGGCUGUAUCUGGCCACACGGAUG
ensembl:lncRNA